rnacentral:rRNA from 1 species
GACAGAGGAUGCAAGCGUUAUCCGGAAUGAUUGGGCGUAAAGCGUCUGUAGGUGGCUUUUUAGGUCUGCCGUCAAAUCCCAGGGCUUAACCCUGGACAGGCGGUGGAAACUACCAAGCUGGAGUACGGUAGGGGCAGGGGGAAUUUCCGGUGGAGCGGUGAAAUGCGUAGAGAUCGGAAAGAACACCAACGGCGAAAGCACUCUGCUGGGCCGACACUGACACUGAGAGACGAAAGCUAGGGGAGCGAAUGGG